rnacentral:rRNA from 1 species
CACGUAGUUAGCCGGUGCUUCUUCCCCACCUACCGUCACCCCAAAGGGCUUCGUCGAUGGUGAAAGAGGUUUACAACCCGAAGGCCUUCAUCCCCCACGCGGCGUUGCUGCGUCAGGCUUUCGCCCAUUGCGCAAGAUUCCCCACUGCUGCCUCCCGUAGGAGUCUGGGCCGUGUCUCAGUCCCAGUGUGGCCGGUCACCCUCUCAGGCCGGCUACCCGUCGUCGCCUUGGUAGGCCAUUACCCCACCAACAAGCUGAUAGGCCGCGGGCCCAUCCCAUACCGCCGGAACUUUCCACACCCCACCAUGCGGCAGAAUGUCCUAUCCGGUAUUAGCCCCCGUUUCCAGGGGUUAUCCCAGAGUAUGGGGCAGAUUACCCACGUGUUACUCACCCGUUCGCCACUCAUCCACCCCACCACAAGGGCAGAGCUUCAGCGUUCGACUUGCAUGUGUUAAGCACGCCGCCAGCGUCGUCCUGAGCCACGGAGUCAACUAC